AUUGAACGCUGGCGGUAUGCUUAACACAUGCAAGUCGAACGGUAACAGGCUCUUCGGAGUGCUGACGAGUGGCGGACGGGUGAGUAAUGCGUAGGAAUCUGCCUAAAAGUGGGGGACAACUUGGGGAAACUCAAGCUAAUACCGCAUAUGCCCUUCGGGGUAAAGCAGGGGAUCUUCGGACCUUGCGCUUUUAGAUGAGCCUACGUCGGAUUAGCUUGUUGGUGGGGUAAAGGCCUACCAAGGCAACGAUCCGUAGCUGGUCUGAGAGGAUGAUCAGCCACACUGGGACUGAGACACGGCCCAGACUCCUACGGGAGGCAGCAGUGGGGAAUAUUGGACAAUGGGGGAAACCCUGAUCCAGCAAUACCGCGUGUGUGAAGAAGGCCUGCGGGUUGUAAAGCACUUUCAGCAGUGAGGAAGGGGUAACGGUUAAUACCCGUUAUCAUUGACGUUAACUGCAGAAGAAGCACCGGCUAACUCUGUGCCAGCAGCCGCGGUAAUACAGAGGGUGCAAGCGUUAAUCGGAAUUACUGGGCGUAAAGAGUACGUAGGUGGUUGUUUAAGUUAGAUGUGAAAUCCCCGGGCUCAACCUGGGAAUUGCGUUUAAGACUGGAUAACUAGAGUGUUGUAGAGGAAAGUGGAAUUUCAGGUGUAGCGGUGAAAUGCGUAGAUAUCUGAAGGAACACCAGUGGCGAAGGCGACUUUCUGGACAAACACUGACACUGAGGUACGAAAGCGUGGGUAGCAAACAGGAUUAGAUACCCUGGUAGUCCACGCCGUAAACGAUGAGAACUUGCUGUUGGGGACAUAAAGGUCCUUGGUAGCGUAGCUAACGCGAUAAGUUCUCCGCCUGGGGAGUACGGUCGCAAGAUUAAAACUCAAAGGAAUUGACGGGGGCCCGCACAAGCGGUGGAGCAUGUGGUUUAAUUCGAUGCAACGCGAAGAACCUUACCUACCCUUGAUCUCCGGAAUUUAGUAGAGAUACUUUAGUGCCUUCGGGAACCGGAUGACAGGUGCUGCACGGCUGUCGUCAGCUCGUGUCGUGGGAUGUUGGGUUAAGUCCCGUAACGAGCGCAACCCCUAUCCUUAGUUACCAGCGAGUUAUGUCGGGGACUCUAGGGAGACUGCCGGUGAUAAACCGGAGGAAGGUGGGGACGACGUCAAGUCAUCAUGGCCCUUAUGGGUAGGGCUACACACGUGCUACAAUGGUAAGAACAAAGGGAAGCGAAGCAGCGAUGUGGAGCAAAUCUCAUAAAACUUAUCUUAGUCCGGAUUGGAGUCUGCAACUCGACUCCAUGAAGUUGGAAUCGCUAGUAAUCGUAGAUCAGAACGCUACGGUGAAUACGUUCCCGGGCCUUGUACACACCGCCCGUCACACCAUGGGAGUAGGUUGCACCAGAAGUAGUUAGGCUAACCGCAAGGAGGCCGAUUACCACGGUGUGAUUUAUGACUGGGGUG
rnacentral:rRNA from 1 species